rnacentral:rRNA from 1 species
GUUAGUGGCGAACGGGUGAGUAACACGUGGGCAAUCUGCCCUUCACUCUGGGACAAGCCCUGGAAACGGGGUCUAAUACCGGAUAACACUCUGUCCCGCAUGGGACGGGGUUAAAAGCUCCGGCGGUGAAGGAUGAGCCCGCGGCCUAUCAGCUUGUUGGUGGGGUAAUGGCCUACCAAGGCGACGACGGGUAGCCGGCCUGAGAGGGCGACCGGCCACACUGGGACUGAGACACGGCCCAGACUCCUACGGGAGGCAGCAGUGGGGAAUAUUGCACAAUGGGCGAAAGCCUGAUGCAGCGACGCCGCGUGAGGGAUGACGGCCUUCGGGUUGUAAACCUCUUUCAGCAGGGAAGAAGCGAAAGUGACGGUACCUGCAGAAGAAGCGCCGGCUAACUACGUGCCAGCAGCCGCGGUAAUACGUAGGGCGCAAGCGUUGUCCGGAAUUAUUGGGCGUAAAGAGCUCGUAGGCGGCUUGUCACGUCGGAUGUGAAAGCCCGGGGCUUAACCCCGGGUCUGCAUUCGAUACGGGCUAGCUAGAGUGUGGUAGGGGAGAUCGGAAUUCCUGGUGUAGCGGUGAAAUGCGCAGAUAUCAGGAGGAACACCGGUGGCGAAGGCGGAUCUCUGGGCCAUUACUGACGCUGAGGAGCGAAAGCGUGGGGAGCGAACAGGAUUAGAUACCCUGGUAGUCCACGCCGUAAACGUUGGGAACUAGGUGUUGGCGACAUUCCACGUCGUCGGUGCCGCAGCUAACGCAUUAAGUUCCCCGCCUGGGGAGUACGGCCGCAAGGCUAAACUCAAGGAAUUGACAGGGGCCCGCACAAGCAGCGGAGCAUGUG